UACGGAAGGUGCAAGCGUUGCUCGGAAUUACUGGGCGUAAAGGGCGCGUAGGCGGCCACGACAAGUCACUUGUGAAAUCUCCGGGCUUAACCCGGAAAGGUCAAGUGAUACUGUCGGGCUAGAGUGCAGAAGGGGCAACUGGAAUUCUCGGUGUAGCGGUGAAAUGCGUAGAUAUCGAGAGGAACACCUGCGGCGAAGGCGGGUUGCUGGGCUGACACUGACGCUGAGGCGCGAAAGCCAGGGGAGCAAACGGG
rnacentral:rRNA from 1 species